AUUGAACGCUGGCGGCAUGCCUUACACAUGCAAGUCGAACGGUAACAGGUCUUCGGAUGCUGACGAGUGGCGAACGGGUGAGUAAUACAUCGGAACGUGCCCGAGAGUGGGGGCUAACGAGGCGAAAGCUUUGCUAAUACCGCAUACGAUCUCAGGAUGAAAGCAUGGGACCGUAAGGCCUUGCGCUCACGGAGCGGCCGAUGGCCGAUUAGGUAGUUGGUGGGCUAAAAGCUUACCAAGCCGACGAUCUGUAGCUGGUCUGAGAGGACGACCAGCCACACUGGGACUGAGACACGGCCCAGACUCAUACGGGAGGCAGCAGUGGUUAAUUUUGGACAAUGGGCGCAAGCCUGAUCCAGCCAUGCCGCGUGCAGGAUGAAGGCCUUCGGGUUGUAAACUGCUUUUGUACGGAACGAAAAGACUCUGGUUAAUACCUGGGGUCCAUGACGGUACCGUAAGAAUAAGCACCGGCUAACUACGUGCCAGCCGCCGCAGUAACAC
rnacentral:rRNA from 1 species